GCAUAUCCCAAGAUCCCAGCCAGCUACAUGUGGACCUAUUUACAGGCUGCUGUUCUCAUCCUGUGCAGCUUCAGUCCUGGUCAGGACACAGCAUGGACAUGAGGGUCCCCGCUCACUUUCUGGGCCUCUUGGUGCUCUGGAUAUCAGGUGCCAGAUGUGACAUCCAAUUGACACAGCCUGCAUCUGCAUCUGCAUCUGUGGGAGACACAGUCAAGAUCAGUUGCCGGGCCAGUCAGAGUGUUAGCAGUUACUUAAACUGGUAUCAGCAGAAACCAGGGCAAGCUCCUAAACUCCUGAUCUAUUGGGCAACCAAUUUGCAGUCUGGGAUCCCAUCGAGGUUCAGUGGCAGUGGAUCUGGGACAGAUUUCACUCUCACCAUCAGCAGCCUGAAGCCUGAAGACUUUGCAACUUAUUACUGUCAACAGAGUAAGAGUAACCCUCCCACAGUGAUACAAGCCAUGACAUAAACCUCCCAGGGAGGCAGAAGUGUGGGGCAGGGCUGCUGCAGUUGUUCCUCUUUGUGUCUCCAGCUGCAGACCAAGUUCUUCAGAUGCAUCCAGGCUCUGAAUGUCACUGGAAGGAUUUGGUAGACCAUCCAAGAAAGCUCCUUCUUCUGCCAGCUUCCUUUUCGGCUUCUCACCCCUGAUUUAAUGAAAGAUACCAAUGAAUACACUGAUGUAAUGCAGAUUAUGGCUUUAUUUUGUAUUUACCUGGCCACACAGAUGCUAUUCUUAGAAUUUUAAGCAAUAAUUUUUAAAAUCUUUUUCCACUGUUAUUGAUUUAUUAAUUAAUUUUGGUUUUUUUUAUUUUAAAGAGAUUUUUAUUUUAAAACCAAAGUACAAC